UCCGCAGGGGGUUUGCCAAGUCUGAUGUGAAAGCCCACGGCUCAACUGUGGAACUGCAUUGGAUACUGGCGAACUAGAGUGCACGAGGGGUGAGCGGAAUUCUUGGUGUAGCGGUGGAAUGCGUAGAUAUCAAGAAGAACACCGAUGGCGAAGGCGGCUCACUGGCGUGUCACUGACCCUCAUGGACGAAAGCGUGGGGAGCGAACAGGAUUAGAUACCCUGGUAGUC
rnacentral:rRNA from 1 species